CCAAUACAGGAAAGCACAGUUGUGAUCUUCUAACAAAACAACAUAAAGACUCGUAAAACAGAAUUUUGCAGAACUUUGCGUAAAGGUUGUUCCUGAAGGCAAUUUUACUAUUACUUAUAGUCCAAAAUAUAACUUCACAGAUUAAAUCUAGCUGGCGAACCAAAAAUGAAAACGGAAAUGGAUGCCAGCAGUUUGAUGAUUAAUGAUUUAUUAUAACCUUUAAUUAUAAGCUAUAGUUAUUAAAAAUUCUUUACCACCACCUAAAAAAAUGGAUACGAUCAAACAUAUGGCUUCAUUGUCCUACCUAAUUAUCAACACUGAUCUUAAGUAUCUUGUGCGGUGAACAGACACGUAGACAAACCAAGAACUUGUGUGCUGCUGACAGUUUUUCUAAUUUGCAUGAAAGCCAUAGCAAUUAAUCACAAACUAAUCAUAGAGACACAUUACAGCUGCAUCUCAUGCACGUUUGGAGCUCACAUGUAAUUUUUAUUGAGCCACAUUAUGCGAGAUUACACACAACUUCAACUGACGAAUAAGUUCUAAAUCCUUCGGUGUCUUCCAUGGUGAGAGGGCAGCUCUUGGAUGAUGCGUUAAUGGACUUGGAGCAAUCUAGUGACAACCAGUUUCCUCUGACACCAUUCAGUUUUUCUUAUUCUCGCGCUAACGUGAAAAGCAGCAACAAAUGAGGUCGGCCGCCACAUUUCCUGUUUGCAACCGAAAAAGGCAGAAGGGGGGUAAAAAUAGAUUCAAGGUACAACGUGCAGCGUGCAACUAAGGGACGUGGUACACACGGGCGUCGGACGUGCGCUGCCUCCCCUGUCCUGAGGGAGGUCACAGACUCUUAGAGCAUCUGAGAACACAGGGACAAGAUGACUGUUUGCCUGCCUUUCCAAGUGAUUUUGGCAGUUGCCCUGAUAGCCCUCACCAUUUCUAUCUCCUUGAAUGUCGUUUUCUACUUUCUCCGACGGCGAGACCGACGGGCAGCAGGUCUGAAAGGUGAUGAGUGUCACCCCAUGGAGCAAUACAGAGAAGGGGAUCACGAACAUUUACAAGAAAAUCCCAUCUAUGGUAACAUCAGCGCAGAAAGGGCAGCUGGCCAAGAUUCAAACCUUCAACACCAUUUGCUCUAUGAGCACAUGAAGGCACAGCCACAGCCUGUAAUGGAGACCAAGUUUCUACAUCCAGUGCAACCUGAUGUGUCCUACGCCUCACUUGACCUGGCAGGGGGCAAGAAGGGGCGGAAGAAGCAUAAAGCCAAGCAAGGCCAAGCCCAGGCCAAACACCCUGCCCACAGCUUGUCGCAGCAGGAGUUCCUGGAGGUGGACACAGAAAUGGAGGCCAACCUGCCGUCCCGGCAGAGCAGCCCUCUGGCAUCACGCCACAGCAUCUACCUCAACAGCCAACAGAUGGCCAUGGAAACACAAGCGAUGGAACGGGAGCAGGCCUGGAAACGGGAACAGGAGCAGGAGCGGGAAUGGGAUAGGGAGUGGAAGAGGAAUCGAGAGUGGGAGAGAGAGAGGGAGAGAGAGAGGGAGAGGGAGAGGGAGAGGGAGUGGGACUGGGAGCGGGAGACAGACCGAGAGCGAGAGAGGGAUCGAGAAAGGGAGGAGGAGUGGGAGAGGGACUGGGAGCGGGAAGCAGCACAACAGAUGGAAAACAACUCAGGGCCGGAUUAUGAUAUAGUCCAUGAAGACCCUGCUCUCCUCCUCAGGCCGAGUCAAAACCAGGAAUGACAACGAUGACAUGUUGGGGUGUUUGGUGUGUUAGAAGUUUGGGUGUUCAUACCCUCUUUUACCAAAAUCGUUCAAUUUUUACCCACCAUCCAUCAUCACAUCAGUCCAGUUGUUCCUUCAGCCAGUCCUCUGUAGCUAACAGUUCAUUUUUUGACAAAGACAUAACAAGACAGCUGCUGAAAAAGACUGCAUGUGUCGUCACAGCGAGACAACUGAGUUAUGGACAAAGGUACAAAUCCUUCUUCGUAUUUUCUAAAAUAACUCACAGCUGUUUUUAAAUCAUAAUUUCUAUGUAAUGAACAAAUGAAAGAAUGUGUUGCUGUAUUGUCCUGAGAUAACUUGAAUGAACAGGGACAUUUAAAGUCUUGUAUUAUUAAUUCAUUUACGUACCUUAUUUCAAAUAUUUUCAUUUUAAUGAUAUAUUAUUUAUCAUUUAUUUUAUUGAAUCAAAUGUCCUCUGCCUCUAAAAGUAUUUCAAUUUUUCUUUGUUUAUACUAUUAUUAAUUACUAUGUCAAUUGUACACUGCUCCAUUUGUUCACAUUUUAUGCUUUCACAGUAGCUACUAAAUGUAUUUCCUGCUGAUGAAGCACUUUAAAUCAAAAUUUAUGAGUUAGGUUGACAUAUAAUGUCAGUCCUUUGGGGAUUGCACAUUUUUCUGUCUAUGUGCCUGAGAAGGAUAUAGCAAGUGUUGUAAAUUUGAAAUUGCCAUAGCUUUUUUUAUAACCACUGCAUGAUUUUAUUUUGUUUAAAUUCAAUUGCCAUUAGUUCUUGAGUCAGAAUUGUAUAAUUUCUAUGGUUCGAGUGAAUCCAUAAAAGAAAAUUUUGUGAACUGAUCUUGUUAGAAAUAGAAACUUUACAUUCCAAUAUACUGUAAAUGUGCAGUUUACAGAGUCUGUGUAUACACUGCAGUAACUAAAGGAAUUCACUUGGUUGGACACAUAUGAACACAUCCAGACAAAAAAUGUGUCACCUUUGGCAAUUAUGAAGAGAAUCAAAACCAAUUUGAUAGGAAGGUUUCUGGUGUAACUUAGAUUUGAAAUGGACUCAAGAGUUAUAUUUCUAUAUACAAAUAUGCAGUAUUUAAUUAUAAAAAAUAAAAAUAUGAACAAUGUGUCUUUAAUACA
ensembl:lncRNA